UAGCGUAUAUUAAAGUUGUUGCAGUUAGAACGCUCGUAGUCGGAUUUCGGGGUGGGUCGACCGGUCUGCCGAUGGGUACGCACUGGUCGACGCGCUCUUCCUUCCGGAGACCGUCUCACUCUUAACUGAGCGGAGGCGGGAGACGGAACGUUUACUUUGAAAAAAUCAGAGUGUUUCAAGCAGGCAGCUCGCUCUUGCAUGGAUUAGCAUGGGAUAAUGAAAUAGGACUUUGGUGCUAUUUUGUUGGUUUCGAACACCGAAGUAAUGAUGAGAAGGGACAGUCAGGGGCACUCGUAUUCCGCCGAGAGAGGUGAAAUUCUCAGACCAGCGGAAGACGAACCACUGCGAAAGCAUUUG
rnacentral:rRNA from 1 species